UCCCUCCCAGACCAACGGAAACCCGUCCUGUGCUCACGCGAGCGGGAAGGCGAGACGAAGCCCCAACACGGGGCUAGGCGGUAACGGCAGACCUGGGCGCCUUCGAGUCUCGCG
rnacentral:ncRNA from 1 species